GGAUAUGUUUCCACCAACUUGUUGAUCUUCUCUCUAUGUUUUUAAAGCUUCAAUCUUUAAGCUUGCAUGUUACAGAUCUUGAAUGUUCAACUCUGAUGGAAUUUUAUUUUGAGAAAUUUGGGUAUUAUUUGAUUUAGGAUUAGGGGUAAAUUGAAGUUUUGAUUUGCUUGAAUUUGGAGGAGAAAGUUGCAUGGGUCGGAUUGCAAUGUUUGCUUCUUGCUAUUUUUUCUUCAGUGUUCGGGUCAGUUUUUUGUUAGAGAAUUUGAGAAUUUUAAUUGGGGCCCCAAAUUGAGGGUUUUAAUUGGGUGAUCUGAUUUACAAGUUCUUGCGCAUAGGGCAAAGAACUAGUAUUCUUUGAAAGAAUUUGGGGCAAUCUCUAAUGCUUUACAGGAGCUCAAGGAAGUUGCUUGUUUUACUGAAGAGGGUCUGAAAGAAAUACUUUCCAUGGCAAUUUUCAGGGCAAUGAUGAUCCAAAAGUAAGUUAAAGAAUUGUUCUUUUAAUUGAGGAAAACGGGUUAUGGUUUAGUUUUAUUGAUGACUCAAAACAUUAUGAUAACCUCACAAGCAACUUUCGCCGGCCAUGAUACUUGGUAUGCCUUUUCCUUUUAGGCGUUUUACUUAAUUUCUUAUCUAUUUUUCAUAUAGGAUGACUGUCUAAGUCUCAGUUCACUAUUUGUAUUUGCUAGUUUAGUUUCAAGUUUGUUUGGAAGAGUGGUGUCAAACCCAAGACCAGCUAGCUGCCUUGAUCAUAAGUGGAAGCUUUUUGCUAAAUACUUUUCAGGUUAUCGUAUCCAUGUGAACUUUGGCAAGGAUACCAAAUUAUGAAUAGAGAUCGCUAGUCCU
rnacentral:lncRNA from 1 species